CCUACGGGCGGCAGCAGUCGAGAAUCAUUCACAAUGGGGGAAACCCUGAUGGUGCGACGCCGCGUGGGGGAAUGAAGGUCUUCGGAUUGUAAACCCCUGUCAUGUGGGAGCAAAUUAAAAAGAUAGUACCCCAAGAGGAAGAGACGGCUAACUCUGUGCCAGCAGCCGCGGUAAUACAGAGGUCUCAAGCGUUGUUCGGAAUCACUGGGCGUAAAGCGUGCGUAGGCUGUUUCGUAAGUCGGGUGUGAAAGGCGCGGGCUCAACCCGCGGACGGCACAUGAUACUGCGAGACUAGAGUAAUGGAGGGGGAACCGGAAUUCUCGGUGUAGCAGUGAAAUGCGUAGAUAUCGAGAGGAACACUCGUGGCGAAGGCGGGUUCCUGGACAUUAACUGACGCUGAGGCACGAAGGCCAGGGGAGCGAAAGGGAUUAGAUACCCUGGUAGUC
rnacentral:rRNA from 1 species